UGGAUGUCUGGGUCUGCCUACUCUUGAGU
rnacentral:piRNA from 1 species